AGUUUAAUGGAGAAUACCAGCUUUGGGAGCUGGAGAUAGAGGUUUGAGCCCUCU
rnacentral:tRNA from 1 species